UACGUAGGGCGCAAGCGUUGUCCGGAAUUAUUGGGCGUAAAGAGCUCGUAGGCGGUCUGUUACGUCCGCUGUGAAAACCCAGGGCUUAACCCUGGGCUUGCAGCCGAUACGGGCAGACUAGAGUGUGAGGGGAGACUGGAAUUCCUGGUGUAGCGGUGAAAUGCGCAGAUAUCAGGAGGAACACCGAUGGCGAAGGCAGGUCUCUGGGCCGACUACUGACGCUGAGGAGCGAAAGCGUGGGGAGCGAACAGGAUUAGAACCGUACCGU
rnacentral:rRNA from 1 species